GUGCUUGCUUUGGCAGCACAUACACUAAAUUUGGAACGAUACAGAGAAGAGUAGCAUGGCCCCUGCGCAAGGAUGACACGCAAAUUUUUGAAGUGUUCCAUGUUAAA
ensembl:snRNA U6 U6 spliceosomal RNA